GACGAACGCUGACGGCGUGCUUUAGACAUGCAAGUCGAACGAGAAAGCCCUUCGGGGUUAGUAAAGUGGCGAACGGGUGAGUAACACGUGGGCAAUCUGCCCUUCGUAGGGGGACAACCGGGGGAAACCCCGGCUAAUACCCCGUAAGCUCGUCGGGUCGCAUGGCCUGACAAGGAGAGGUAGCUUCGGCCAUCCGGCGAAGGAGGAGACCGCGGUUCAUUAGCUAGUUGGUGAGGUAACGGCUCACCAAGGCUACGAUGUAUAGCUGGUCUGAGGGGAUGAUCAGCCACACUGGGAGUGAGACACGGCCCAGACUCCUACGGGAGGCAGCGGGCGGGAAUCUUGCACAAUGGGCGAAAGCCUGAUGCAGCAACGCCGUGUGAGCGACGAAGGCCUUAGGGUCGUAAAGCUCUGUUGUUAGGGACGAAGGGCGAAGGGUUAAUAGCCCUUAGCCUGACGGUACCUUUCGAGGAAGCCCCGGCUAACUACGUGCCAGCAGCCGCCGUAA
rnacentral:rRNA from 1 species